rnacentral:rRNA from 1 species
CGGAGGGUGCAAGCGUUAUCCGGAUUCACUGGGUUUAAAGGGUGCGUAGGUGGGCUAGUAAGUCCGUGGUGAAAUCUCCAAGCUUAACUUGGAAACUGCCGUGGAUACUAUUAGUCUUGAAUAUUGUGGAGGUAAGCGGAAUAUGUCGUGUAGCGGUGAAAUGCUUAGAUAUGACAUAGAACACCGAUAGCGAAGGCAGCUUGCUACACAAUCAUUGACACUGAGGCACGAAAGCGUGGGGAUCAAACAGGAUUAGAUACCCUGGUAGUCCACGCCCUAAACGAUGGAUACUCGACAUACGCGAUACACAGUGCGUGUCUGAGCGAAAGCAUUAAGUAUCCCACCUGGGAAGUACGACCGCAAGGUUG